GAGGGUAUAGCUCAGUGGUAGAGCAAAUAGUUAGCAUGAAAGAGGUCCUGGGUUCGACCCCCAGUACCUCCA
rnacentral:tRNA from 1 species